rnacentral:rRNA from 1 species
GCUACCAUGCAAGUCGAACGGGGACUGUCUAAAGCUUGCUUUAGGCAGUUCUAGUGGCGGACGGGUGAGUAACGCGUGAGGAACCUGCCUUUCAGAGGGGGAUAACGUCUGGAAACGGACGCUAAUACCGCAUGACAUUUUAGAGUCACAUGGCUUUAGAAUCAAAGGAGCAAUCCGCUGGAAGAUGGACUCGCGUCCGAUUAGCCAGUUGGUGAGGUAACGGCCCACCAAAGCGACGAUCGGUAGCCGGACUGAGAGGUUGAACGGCCACAUUGGGACUGAGACACGGCCCAGACUCCUACGGGAGGCAGCAGUGGGGGAUAUUGCACAAUGGAGGAAACUCUGAUGCAGCAACGCCGCGUGAGGGAAGACGGUCUUCGGAUUGUAAACCUUUGUCCUUGGUGAAGAUAAUGACGGUAGCCGAGGAGGAAGCUCCGGCUAACUACGUGCCAGCAGCCGCGGUAAUACGUAGGGAGCAAGCGUUGUCCGGAUUUACUGGGUGUAAAGGGUGCGUAGGCGGCUCUGCAAGUCAGGUGUGAAAACCAUCGGCUCAACUGAUGGACUGCAUUUGAAACUGUGGGGCUUGAGUGAAGUAGAGGCAGGUGGAAUUCCCGGUGUAGCGGUGGAAUGCGUAGAGAUCGGGAGGAACACCAGUGGCGAAGGCGGCCUGCUGGGCUUUAACUGACGCUGAGGCACGAAAGCAUGGGUAGCAAACAGGAUUAGAUACCCUGGUAGUCC